UCCUUUGCAGCAAUGAAUGGUAGUACUAUUUUGUUUCCAAUUGUCAUGUUCUUUUCAUUACAGCCUGGUCAAUAACACUAACAAAACUCAAACAUAUGGAAUACAGAUUCUCCCAAGCAAAAGAAGAUCCUCGGAUAUAUGUUAAUCCUAAAAACUUAUCUUAAAAGGAAAUCUGAAUUUUGACAACACAAUUCAAACAUUUUUUUCAAUAGAAUCAGAAAGUAUAAAAUUGUAUAAAUUGUGUAUGAGUGAAUUUGCACCCCGUGAAUAAGAAGAAUCUUGGAAGAAUGGCAGGAGGGGGAUAGUGAUAAUUGAUGAAAAGGAGAAGGUAGGUCAUGAUGAAACUGCUUCUGACAGGUCAACAUUCUAUUAUCUUUCUUUGAUGCCAAAAGUGCACAGUUGUCAAAGAAUCAAAGCUAUGCCCCUAACCCAAGCUCGGAGAUGGAUUUCACUCCAAUAAUA
rnacentral:lncRNA from 1 species